rnacentral:rRNA from 1 species
UACGUAGGGUGCGAGCGUUGUCCGGAAUUAUUGGGCGUAAAGAGCUUGUAGGCGGUUUGUCGCGUCUGCUGUGAAAAUCCGGGGCUCAACCCCGGACUUGCAGUGGGUACGGGCAGGCUAGAGUGUGGUAGGGGAGACUGGAAUUCCUGGUGUAGCGGUGGAAUGCGCAGAUAUCAGGAGGAACACCGAUGGCGAAGGCAGGUCUCUGGGCCACUACUGACGCUGAGAAGCGAAAGCAUGAGGAGCGAACAGG